UCCGGUUUGGCACCGGCAGUCCCCCUAGAGUCCCCGGCAUGAUCCGCUGGUAACUAAGGGCGAGGGUUGCGCUCGUUGCGGGACUUAACCCAACACCUCACGACACGAGCUGACGACAGCCAUGCAGCAUCUGUGCUGGAACUCCGAAGAGGGGCCGAUGUUUCCACCGGCUUUCCCGUGCAUGUCAAGCCCAGGUAAGGUUCUUCGCGUUGCAUCGAAUUAAACCACAUGCUCCGCUGCUUGUGCGGGCCCCCGUCAAUUCCUUUGAGUUUUAGCCUUGCGGCCGUACUCCCCAGGCGGGGUGCUUAAUGCGUUAGCUGCGGCACGGGAGGAGUCGACACCUCCCACACCUAGCACCCAUCGUUUACGGCGUGGACUAC
rnacentral:misc_RNA from 1 species